UGGGGAAUUUUCGCAAUGGGCGCAAGCCUGACGAAGCAACGCCGCGUGGAGGAUGAAGAUCUUCGGAUUGUAAACUCCUGUCGACCGGGACGAAUGCACUCGACCUAAUACGUCGAGUUGUUGACGGUACCGGUGGAGGAAGCCACGGCUAACUCUGUGCCAGCAGCCGCGGUAAUACAGAGGUGGCAAGCGUUGUUCGGAAUUACUGGGCGUAAAGGGCGCGUAGGCGGCCUUGUAAGUCUCGUGUGAAAGCCCUCGGCUUAACUGAGGAUCUGCACGGGAUACUGCGAGGCUAGAGUUCGGGAGAGGAAAGCGGAAUUCCGGGUGUAGCGGUGAAAUGCGUAGAUAUCCGGAGGAACACCAGGGGCGAAGGCGGCUUUCUGGACCGACACUGACGCUGAGGCGCGAAAGCUAGGGGAGCAAACGGGAUUAGAUACCCCUGUAGUCCCUGAGCGGGCUGGCAAGGCGCAU
rnacentral:rRNA from 1 species